rnacentral:rRNA from 1 species
CUGGCUCAGAACGAACGCUGGCGGCAGGCCUAAGUCAUGCAAGUUGAACGGCUGUAGCAAUACAGCAGUAGCGGACGGGUGAGUAAUGUAUGGGAACGUAUCUUCUAGUGGGGAAUAUUCUUUGGAAACGAAGAGCAAUACCGCAUGAGUCCUACGGGAGAAAGUCGCAAGACGCUAGAUGAGCGGCCCAUAUUGGAUUAGCUAGUUGGUUAGGUAAUGGCUGACCAAGGCAACGAUCCAUAGCUGGUCUAAGAGGACGAUCAGCCACAUUGGGACUGAGACACGGCCCAGACUCCUACGGGAGGCAGCAGUCAGGAAUAUUGGACAAUGGGGGCAACCCUGAUCCAAGCCAUGCCGCGUGAGUGUUAAGGUCUUCGGAUUGUAAAGCUCUUUUGUGUGGGAAAAUGAUGAUGGUACCACAAGAAUAAGCACCGGCUAACUUCGUGCCAGCCGCCGC